rnacentral:lncRNA from 1 species
GAUCGGGCAUCUUAUUAUCAUUUGAAUUAACUAGGCCCAAAACACCUCCACCCAACCCAAAACGCCAUUUUCACCCCACCACUCUUAAUCUUUAAGAUUUUUCACUUCAUUCUUUUCACUCAACCAACAACCCAAACCCUAAACACACCCUAAACUCCUUAGCCGUCACACCUUACACACCACACCCACUCCUUUUCAUCUUCUCCAAACCCCCUCCAAGCCCUAAACCACCCCACAAAACACCCCUAUCGUCCUUCACGACCACCCCAGCCCCCCGUUGCAACCACCACGAACACCUCUAACGACAAACGACCCCUCACCCACUGCCCAAGAUAGCCAUGAAAACCAACCAGUCCCGUCCGCUUUCCCCGUCGCCCAGUUGUGAACCGGCGCCCAAAAGAUCCUCCCCGACGUCCCAACACCACUGCUCGACGCCACCAUCCAGCUCACGAGCAAACAGCCCCUCCUAGCCCACACACAACUCCAUCGCCCAAACGGACCAGUCUUCCACGCCAAACAACCCCUCCCAUUAACAUCAUAUCGCCGGAAUACGCACGAUCGAGACGGAGAAGAGACCGGGUCCGAAAAGAAAAAAUGCUCUUCAUCUUCUGAUUUUCGUUCCAAAAAAUAGAGAUGGUUUGAGUUUUGAGUUUGUUGUUGAGAUUCCCGGCAGAUUUGAGUUUAUUCGGGUUUCAAAGUUUCCGGGCAGAUUUAUUUCGAUUCGAGUUCGUCGUUAUUUCGAUGGGGUUAGUUGGUUUAAGUUUCAUUUCUGUUCGUAUUUUGUUUGAUAUUUUUGGAUCUAAAAUCAGUAUAUGUUUGAUUAUAUUCUUGUUCGUUGUUUAUCAUUUUCUUGAUUAUUUCUUCAGUUUGCUUUAUUCAUUUGUUCUUGUUUAGUUUUAAUAUAGAAAUAUUUUAGUUUAAUCACUUGAGUCCUUGAUCUUGAUUGUAAUAUUUUUAGAUUUAAUUUGAAGUUCAAUUAAUUAUUGAGUUUAGUGAUUGAAAUAUGUUUUAUUGUUGUGUUAAGUCUAAAUUUGGAUCUGACUUAGAAAUUUGAAUUUGUUUGUUUGAUUUGUUAAGUUAAUUUGAAUCUGAGUUUAGUGAUU